GACGAACGCUGGCGGCGUGCCUAAUACAUGCAAGUAGAACGCACAGUUUAUACCGUAGCUUGCUACACCAUAGACUGUGAGUUGCGAACGGGUGAGUAACGCGUAGGUAACCUGCCUGGUAGCGGGGGAUAACUAUUGGAAACGAUAGCUAAUACCGCAUAAUAUUGAUUAUUGCAUGAUAAUUAAUUGAAAGGUGCAAUUGCACCACUACCAGAUGGACCUGCGUUGUAUUAGCUAGUAGGUGAGGUAACGGCUCACCUAGGCGACGAUACAUAGCCGACCUGAGAGGGGGAUCGGCCACACUGGGACGGAGACACGGCCCAGACUCCUACGGGAGGCAGCAGGAGGGAAUCUUCGGCAAUGGACGAAAGUCUGACCGAGCAACGCCGCGUGAGUGAAGAAGGUUGUCGGAUCGUAAAGCUCUGUUGUAAGAGAAGAACGGGUGUGAGAGUGGAAAGUUCACACUGUGACGGUAUCUUACCAGAAAGGGACGGCUAACUACGUG
rnacentral:rRNA from 1 species